rnacentral:rRNA from 1 species
GACGAACGCUGGCGGCGUGCUUAACACAUGCAAGUCGAACGGAAAGGCCUGCUUUCCCUUGUGGAUUGCGGGUACUCGAGUGGCGAACGGGUGAGUAACACGUGAGUGAUCUGCCCCCAACUUGGGUAUAAGCCUGGGAAACUGGGUCUAAUUCCCGAUAGGACUGCAGGGUGGUGCCUGUGGUGGAAAACGAUUUUCUAGUGGUUGGGGAUGAGCUCGCGGCCUAUCAGCGUGUUGGUGGGGUAAUGGCCUACCAAGGCGGCGACGGGUAGCCGGCCUGAGAGGGUUGACGGCCGCAUUGGGACUGGGUUACGGCCCAGACUCCUACGGGCGGCAGCAGUGGGGGAUAUUGCACCAUGGGCGGAAGCCUGAUGCAGCGACGCCGCGUGGGGGAUGACGGCCUUCGGGUUGUAAACUCCUUUCGACCGCGAGGAAGCCACCUGGUUGGAAGGGUGGUGACGGUAGUGGUAGAAGAAGCACCGGCUAACUACGUG